UACGUAGGGUGCGAGCGUUGUCCGGAAUUAUUGGGCGUAAAGGGCUCGUAGGCGGUCUGUCACGUCGGGAGUGAAAACACGGGGCUUAACCCCGUGCCUGCUUCCGAUACGGGCAGACUAGAGGUAUGCAGGGGAGAACGGAAUUCCUGGUGUAGCGGUGAAAUGCGCAGAUGUCAGGAGGAACACCGGUGGCGAAGGCGGGUCUCUGGGCCGGUACCGACGCUGAGGAGCGAAAGCGUGGGGAGCGAACAGG
rnacentral:rRNA from 1 species